GCUAUGCUAAUGAAACCACAACAAUUUAACUUCCGAUGUCAGACAUCUUCUUUUUAACGCGACUUAGUCGGAUAUGAAUUUAUUAUCAAAAAAAUUCAUGUUUGACCUUCUAUAUUAGAUUUGGCUUCGUCAUUGUAAAAUGUGCGAGAAAGACAGAAAUGCAAUACUGCUUGUAACCUCCUCCAUCGCUAAACGGAAGCGGAAGCGCAUGUUGCGUUGGACUACAACUCAAACAGCCAAUUAGAAGGCGACAUGCCUUGCCGUAAAUGGCAUGGUGGCAAUACCAUGAAAAUCCUAAACUGGCACUCGGGGAUAAUGAGUGAUGCUGCAGUGGGUGUUCAUCGAGUUGUGGGUGUUAUUUGUUAGCUUUUCCUCGCAUACACUGACCACAGUGACACUGUUCGUUUAGAUUAGAAUUAUUUCAAACGAACUCAUAAAACAACUCACCUCGCUAGGGUUUCAUAUGUACGUACAGCACAUACAACAACACAAACAAACUACUGAAUGUCGGCUGUUAAGGGAUGCACAUCAUUUUCAAGAUGAAAGCGCUGCCUGUCGUCCUCUUGUGGCUGUGACAAGGAGUUUUUGUCCUCCAACAUCAUAUCUUUGUACACAUUAUGAUAAGAGUCAACUAUGAAGGUAGCUCAACAGGAUUUUUCAUUAAUAUCAGGAGAGAGAGGAGAGAACGAGACAAGAUGAAGAAGAAGAAGAAGAGGUUUCGGCGGAUAUUUGUCUCAUCCCAAAUUCACCAGAGCUCAGGAUGAGCAGGUGGAGCAGGGUGAGGUGCAGGACACUGACGAGGCCCCAUCCAGGAGAUGUACUGAUGGUAAAAGACAAGAAUGCUGCCGUUUUAUCCGAGGCUGUCUGAAGAGUGACCCAGAGCAGAGGAAAUCUGAAGGAGAUGAUCUUCCAUGACUGGUUUAAGGCCCCUCUGUAAGUCAUGGAGGACAGGGUCAGCCUUGCGUCUGGAUCCUUUCAUGGCCCCAGUGUUUGCCAUCACUGGUGUGAUUCCUCCAUUAAUAUAUUACACCUGUGUGCCACAUUAAAACACAGUGUUUG